UACGUAGGGCGCAAGCGUUGUCCGGAAUUAUUGGGCGUAAAGAGCUCGUAGGCGGCUUGUCACGUCGGGUGUGAAAGCCCGGGGCUUAACCCCGGGUCUGCAUUCGAUACGGGCAGGCUAGAGUUCGGUAGGGGAGACUGGAAUUCCUGGUGUAGCGGUGGAAUGCGCAGAUAUCAGGAGGAACACCGGUGGCGAAGGCGGGUCUCUGGGCAGUAACUGACGCUGAGGAGCGAAAGCGUGGGGAGCGAACAGG
rnacentral:rRNA from 1 species